rnacentral:rRNA from 1 species
GAUGAACGCUGGCGGCGUGCCUAAUACAUGCAAGUCGAGCGAACGGACGAGAAGCUUGCUUCUCUGAUGUUAGCGGCGGACGGGUGAGUAACACGUGGAUAACCUACCUAUAAGACUGGGAUAACUUCGGGAAACCGGAGCUAAUACCGGAUAAUAUUUUGAACCGCAUGGUUCAAAAGUGAAAGACGGUCUUGCUGUCACUUAUAGAUGGAUCCGCGCUGCAUUAGCUAGUUGGUAAGGUAACGGCUUACCAAGGCAACGAUGCAUAGCCGACCUGAGAGGGUGAUCGGCCACACUGGAACUGAGACACGGUCCAGACUCCUACGGGAGGCAGCAGUAGGGAAUCUUCCGCAAUGGGCGAAAGCCUGACGGAGCAACGCCGCGUGAGUGAUGAAGGUCUUCGGAUCUUAAAACUCUGUUAUUAGGGAAGAACAUAUGUGUAAGUAACUGUGCACAUCUUGACGGUACCUAAUCAGAAAGCCACGGCUAACUACGUGCCAGCAGCCGCGGUAAUACGUAGGUGGCAAGCGUUAUCCGGAAUUAUUGGGCGUAAAGCGCGCGUAGGCGGUUUUUUAAGUCUGAUGUGAAAGCCCACGGCUCAACCGUGGAGGGUCAUUGGAAACUGGAAAACUUGAGUGCAGAAGAGGAAAGUGGAAUUCCAUGUGUAGCGGUGAAAUGCGCAGAGAUAUGGAGGAACACCAGUGGCGAAGGCGACUUUCUGGUCUGUAACUGACGCUGAUGUGCGAAAGCGUGGGGAUCAAACAGGAUUAGAUACCCUGGUAGUCCACGCCGUAAACGAUGAGUGCUAAGUGUUAGGGGGUUUCCGCCCCUUAGUGCUGCAGCUAACGCAUUAAGCACUCCGCCUGGGGAGUACGACCGCAAGGUUGAAACUCAAAGGAAUUGACGGGGACCCGCACAAGCGGUGGAGCAUGUGGUUUAAUUCGAAGCAACGCGAAGAACCUUACCAAAUCUUGACAUCCUUUGACAACUCUAGAGAUAGAGCCUUCCCCUUCGGGGGACAAAGUGACAGGUGGUGCAUGGUUGUCGUCAGCUCGUGUCGUGAGAUGUUGGGUUAAGUCCCGCAACGAGCGCAACCCUUAAGCUUAGUUGCCAUCAUUAAGUUGGGCACUCUAAGUUGACUGCCGGUGACAAACCGGAGGAAGGUGGGGAUGACGUCAAAUCAUCAUGCCCCUUAUGAUUUGGGCUACACACGUGCUACAAUGGACAAUACAAAGGGCAGCGAAACCGCGAGGUCAAGCAAAUCCCAUAAAGUUGUUCUCAGUUCGGAUUGUAGUCUGCAACUCGACUACAUGAAGCUGGAAUCGCUAGUAAUCGUAGAUCAGCAUGCUACGGUGAAUACGUUCCCGGGUCU